rnacentral:rRNA from 1 species
UAUUGCUCUUCAACGAGGAAUCCCUAGUAAGCACAAGUCAUCAGCUUGUGUUGAUUACGUCCCUGCCCUUUGUACACACCGCCCGUCGCUACUACCGAUUGAAUGGCUUAGUGAGACCCUCGGAUUGGUAUUCAGAAGCUUUAACCGGCAUCUGUUUGCUGAGAAGUUGGUCAAACUUGGUCAUUUAGAGGAAGUAAAAGUCGUAACAAGGUUUCCGUAGGUGAACCUGCGGAAGGAUCAUUAAUGAUUUUUAAAGCGAGUCGAGCGUUAAGCGAGGCUUGCGAAAUAUUUAAAACCCCACUCUUUUUAACCUUAAAAAAUAAAUCAUGAUACAUGAAUUUAAAAAAAAAGAUCACUUUCAACAACGGAUCUCUUGGCUCUCGCAUCGAUGAAGAACGCAGCGAAAUGCGAUAAGUAGUGUGAAUUGCAUAAUUUUGUGAAUCAUCGAAUCUUUGAACGCAAAUUGCACUCCCUGGUAUUCCGGGGAGUAUGCCUGUUUGAGGGUCGUUAGAAUAAAAAUCGAGGCGUCGCUCUUUUUUUAAGGGUGAUCGCGUCGGAAUUGAGCCGUCUUUCAAAUGUUAAUUCAUGUCAAAGUGGCUUAAAAUUCAUCCAUCCGGUACGAUUAAAGCGUAUUUAAGAUCAAUUUUGAUUAAGAACGCGCGAUGACGUACCAUCUCAUGUAGUACGUUUGACUUGGCGUCGUCAGGAUCAUUCGUAUACGAUACUCAACUUUUGACCUCAAAUCAGGUAAGAAUACCCGCUGAACUUAAGCAUAUCAAUAAGCGGAGGAAAAGAAAAUAACAAUGAUUCCCUCAGUAACGGCGAGCGAAGAGGGAUAAGCUCAAAUUUUAAAUCUGUUGGGUUCCACUUAACAGAGUUGUAUUUUGAAGAAACGUUUUCUGCAUCCAGGAUUAGCCUAAAUCCUUUGGGAUAAGGUAUCAUGGAGGGUGAGAAUCCCGUUCAUGGUUAUCUUAAGGAGCUCUACGAUACGUUUUCCAGAGUCGAGUUGUUUGGGAUUGCAGCUCAAAUGGGAGGUAAUUUCUCCUAAGCUAAUAUGGCGAGAGACGAUAGCGAACAGUACGUGAGGAAGAUGAAAGACUUGGAAAAGAGAGUACAGGUACGUGCAUGUGAAGGAACGAUUGAAGUCAGUCUACCAACGGCAAAUUCAACUUUUGGAGCCUUGCAUUGUGAUGUUUGAGACCGAGGAUUGCAACGGAUACCCUUCAGGGCUAUUCGUCUGAUCUCUGAUACGUUGCCUUGAUGUUGAAAGCUUGCUUAUGAUGUUAGGGUAUUACGGUCAAAAGGUUAGAACGAUUUACAUUCGUUAAGGAUGUUGACGUAAUGACUUUAAACGACCCGUCUUGAAACACGGACCAAGGAGUCUAACAUAUAUGCGAGUGUUC